rnacentral:rRNA from 1 species
AUUGAACGCUGUCGGCAGGCUUACCACAUGCAAGUCGAGCGAGCGGCGGACGGGUGAGUAAUGUCUGGGAAACUGCCUGCUGGCGUGGGUUAACUACUUGACACGGUAGCUAAUACCGCAUACCAUCAGAUGUGCCCAGAUGGGAUUAGCUAGUAGGUGGGGUAAUGGCUUACGUAGGCGACGAUCCCUAGCUGGUCUGAGAGGAGGACAAGCCACACUGGAACUGAGAGAAGGACCAGAAACCUACGGGAGGCAGCAGUGGGGAAUAUUGCACAAGGGGCGCGAGCCUGAGGCAGACAUGCCGAGUGGGUGAAGAAGGCCGUCGGGUUGUAAAGCACUUUCAGCGAGGAGGCGUUACUCGCAGAAGAAGCACCGGGUAACUACGUGCAAGCAGCCGAGGUAAUUC